ACUCCGACUGCUGUGUAUUUUCUUCCGCUAUUGAUUUAUGUCAGAGAAAAUUAUAUUUUCAUGCUGAAGGGGCACUGAGUCCGAAUGUCCAUCUUGCUUGGAGACUCGUGGAAUCCUUAAAAUGACAGUAGCUAGUUCAAUUCCAUUUGUGUGCAAGACAUUACAUUUUACGAAAGCAGCUGUUUUUCAUGGAAUAUGUCCAGGUUUUCUCCUCAGGAUAUAAACCAGCGACCUCAUACUUCCAACUCAAGACCUAUCUAUCAACACGUUUUCCCAUGUAAGAUUUCCAUUAUGCAGGAUUCCGCCUAUGGUUGGAUCAGUGUAUCCAGGACUACAGAAAAUAGUGUCUCUUUUAAUUAGACUCAAAUGGGCUCAAGUCCCAUUAGAUUUUCAUAGAUUUCUUUUUCUUUCUUUCUUUUUUUUUUUUUUUUUUUUUUAAGUUACUCCAAAGUUUCUGGGAGAACUUGAAUGUAUUUUAGCUUUCAUCAACUCUAUGCCUUCCCAGUCCACAGCUUCUACAUUUCCAGAGGUUGAUGCAUUUUGGGCAGGUGUGCCUUGUUCUUCCCAAAUAACUCGACAAAAGCACUUGACCUCAAACAGGCCAUCUUUUCAAUUUUGGGAAUUUCUCUUGGGUAUAAGAUUAGAAAUGUGUCAACUUGUAUCAAAUAUGCCCUUAAGAAGUUACCAAAUGCAGUCUUCUCUGCUUUAACACUUGCUGCUUCUCUAUGUUCACUAGCUUAUUUUAAUUAUAUAGGGGAAGAUGAAAAAGAUUGAAGUCAAAAUGUUUCAAAUACAUUUCUACUCUAAUUUGUCCAAGAAAAGUAUUUAAAGUGUGUAUUCUAUUUGCUGAUGUGAUCUGAGAUUUUGUUAAAGUUAUAUUAUUCUGACAUUUGGGCAACAUAACAUAAUUACUUUCAAAUAUAUCCAGUUUAACUGUAUGAUUAAGGAAGAUUCAGAAAGCUCAGUCUUUGUUCUGAAUACCAUAUUAGUCUACAUCUGAUUUAUGAUGGAGCUACUGGCAAGAGUCUAUGAAUUUCUUUGCCUCUGUAACACUACAUGUAAAAUACCUGAUUCCUAAAUAUUUCUCAGGCUAACUUAGAAACAAAAAGAAUGAUGUAAUGUCUAAAUAUCUUUAAAGUUUUUUCUUCCUGAAGACGUUAUAAUGAUUCCAACUUCUUAGGGUGUCUAGACAAUUCUUUCCAAUUGGAAUUUUGUGAAUUAUAACGAGACCUUUUAUUGUGGAAUGGUUUAUUUUGUUUUGUUUUGUUUCAUCCUCUAGAAUCAGUGGUUACCAGCAUUUACAUGAGGCAUCAGGGGAAAAAAGAAAUAAUCGGGUUUAUAUUCCUAAGGUGACCGAAGUAUUAUGACUACUCAGUUAUUUGGAUUCGACUCAAGAUUAAAGUCUCCAUCUGUGAGCUUUAUAGCAGAAAAGUACUCUUUCCAAACUUUCCCUCCUGACAGGUUUUAAUUUAUUUAUUCAUGAGAAACACAGGCAGAGGGAGAAGCAGGCUCUCUGUGGAGAGCCUGAUGUGGGACUCGAUCCCGAGACCCCUGGGUCAUGACCUGAGCCGAAGGCAGAUGCUCAACCACUGAGCCACUAGGUGUCCCAGUGGAGGUAUUUCAAUUUACAGAUAGAAGCUUUACUCCUUUCAUAGCAGAAGUGGGAGAGGAUCAUUACUUUCAACUUACAAACAACCAAGACGCACUUCAAGAUCUUAGAGCUCAUGUGCACAGAGAUCUAUGCUUUAACUUCUAAUGUUUGAAACAGUAAAGCUUCCGUGACGUUGGUUGCUUUCGUUAAUAAGAUAACCAACAAUAUUACAAAUACACAAAGAAGUAUGAAGAAGAACGAAGAGACUUUCUACAAAUUUAUCUGGUAGAAAAAAUAAAUGUAUGCUUCCAAUAAGGGUAUCACAUUUUUCUAAACCUAGAGAGAAGUGAAUAAUGGCUAAUUAUGGAAAUUAUGUACUUUAUUAAGUCAAUUUAUACCAUUUCAUAAAUAACUUAGAAGAUUAGUAGAAUAGGAUCUUAUUUCAGAAUUCGAUGGGAACCAGUUGGGAUACUGUCAUAAUACCUACUAUUUCACAACAUGUAAGAGUCUUUUCCGCCAUUUGAGUUAUCUUUUAACGUAUAGUUUUACAAUUAUCUUCAUUAUCUAAAUUUAUCAGAGAAUGACUUAAACUUAUUUGCUACUUGGCUGUAAUAUAUUAACUGUUUUCUUGAGGGUUCAAGCUUGUAUUGAACUAUAUACCACUACAGCAAUGAUCUCAAACUUGACAAGCUUUCAAAAAUGUUGAAGCUAAUAUAAUUGAUGCUACAUUAAAGUCAGGUGUCCCUAUUUCAUUGUUUCUCAGUCUCAGCAGAUGAUUUUAAUGUAUACUCAGUGGUGAAAAUUCUACAUUAUCCCCCAAAACAUUAAAUAUUGUGAUGAAAAUAAUAUUAUUGCAAAUUGUAACUAACAUUGGCUAUUAUAUAAAAACACUUCUCAGUAUAGAGAAGAAAUUAGGAGCAUUAAGUUUCUCCGUUACUUACAUUACCUGUGAAAACAAUGGAGCAAUGUAAAAUGGUCAAAAAACUGUGGAUGCAAGCCCUGUCUCUGCCACAAGUCUUCAAGAGUGAAAACAAUGAAUUAUCUAAGGAUUCAAUUUUAUAAUUAAUAAAAUCAAUAAGUUGGCUUACCGGAUAUGUAGUAUCACUGGCUUACCAUGCUAAAAUUUGGGCAUUAUACAUAAUCAUUAUAAUUUAUGUAUCUAUAUAAAUGUUCUUUACUAUAAACCUUGUUUACUGAACAAAAUGUGAUUUUUAAAUUAAUUUUAAUGAGUUUACUGCUUUUUAAAUAGGAAUCAUUAUAAUUUUAGUCUUUAGAUAUCGGAACUCAUACUCGUAAAAAGAUUCAAAAAGAGAUUAAAUAUUUUUUUUCGGAAUUUUCUUCUUUCCUCUAAAAACCAAAAUUCCAUCUUUUUGCUGUUAGGUCACAAUGAAUAGCCUACAAUCAAUCAAUCACAGAAAAAAAUGACACUUUCUUGGGAAGUAACAUUAAAUAAUGUGAUCACAGAGUGCAAUGUUCUUAUUAAUGCACAUAAUAAAGAUGAAAUCAAUUUUAAAAAUGAGAUGCUAUUUGUUAAAACUGACCACAACUGAUAACAAUUCCUUUGUAUGAAUCUUUAAGGUUUUUUAGUAGAGAAGAUAUCACUUGUACUAUUAAAUGACUUCAUAUUUAACAGAUACUAAGACCUAAAGCUGUUUAUCUUCCAGGCUCCUUUUAUUUAAAAAUGAAGUGCCUUCCACUAAGAGAGUUCUAGCAAGAAAUGAAAAAAAAUGUUUUAAAAAGAAAAAUGAAAAGAAGGAGAAUGACAAAUGUAAGUGUCACCAACCACACUGCAAUUUCAGUCUUCAAGUUGAAAAGAUAAAUGAGACAUCAGGGGCAAACAGCUUUGUUAGCACAGCCUUGACAUAAGUUAUGGAAGGCGAACACAUCUUGGUACUCCAAGUUACAACAACUCACUCGCUUGUGAUAAAGCAUUUUUAUAUAUGUAUUGCUUUACAUCUUGCCCAUAUUCCUAAUUAUAAAAUCUUAUUUCAUUUUAAAAAUGUAAGUGACUUUUUGUUAUUUAAAGAAGUACACAAAAUCAAAGGCUAGACACAGUGCAACUACUGCAGUUUCUUCAGGUGCUAAACAUUGCUGUGAAUUUUUAAAUUUUUAAAUAGAGUUUUGCUAUGAUGUUUUUCAUGCUAAUAAGGCCGUACAACAGCAAACAUUGUGACAAUUAUGGUUUGUUAAAAAAAUGCCAUUACAGUUUAUUCCAUUUGCUGUAUUUAUAUUUGUGACAAUCAUGAGAUAGAUUUGAUAUGCAUGCAAAAACUUUAUAUAGAGUUUUCAAAUGGAAUAGAGAAACUGAAAAUUAUUCUAGGAUUUUGUGAAUAUUGUGAUAGACUUGCCUUUAGAGAAAUACAUAUAUAUGUAAAAUCUCUGAUAAUAUUUUCAGACUUCCUUGCAUUUAAAAAUUAUUUAUCAAAUCUCCUUGGAUGCGUACAAUUGAUUCUCAUGAAAAGCUCUUGCUGCAUAAAGAGAUUUCCAAGCUGAAAACAGACAGUGUGUGGCUUAAUGUUUGCCAAGUGUUGCCAUCUUAAAAUCUUGACUGUUGAAACAAUAACAUUUUGGCUGCUUUUAUAACACUCAUUUAAUGUUUACAGUUUAGUAAAUGUGCAUUUUUAUAAACAGAGGGCUUACCUAAUUAAACUGGACCAGUGUAAGAACUAGGUCAAUGUAUUGUGAACAAAAUAAUCCCAAUAUGGUUGGGUUACAGAACAGCUCAAUUUUACUCAUUGAGUUCUAUCGAUUUUUGGCAGAGAGGAAAGAAAGAAAGAACAGAUGGUAGAAGAAAGAAAUUGAGCUGCUGGGUGAUGGAAUACACUAUCACACUGAAUUAUAAAGAAUGGUGCUCCAGUCUCCUGAAUAGUUAUUUCAAUCAGGGUACAAAAUCAACACAUAUCACUUAUUCUGAAACAACACAAAUUUUUCAACAAAAAUGAGCAUAAAGUUCAGUUUCAAGUUGUGACCAUCCAGUGUUAAAAUUUGACGUCACAUGAAGGGGAAAGGUUGCUCUCUGUUGUUAGCUUAAUGAAACAUAAAUUGUAUUUCCUCAUUUGGGUUGGAAAAUGGAAAGAGACUUACACUUCCUCAAGGACAGUUUCAGUGUUCAGAUCUAAGGGAUUUAUACUACCUGAAAAUAAGAGAAGUUUUUAAAAAUAUAUGUAAACAGAAUGUAAACAUGUAAAUUAACACCUUUGCUGACAAAGAUUAGAGAGUGUUCGACAUUCAAAGAGACAAAAUCAGUAGAACAAUUCAUUCUUUUCAGAAUAAUAACAGUAAAUUAUCAAUUUAUCAUAAUAUGGCAAAUUAAUUUUUUUUAAUUUUAUUUAUUUAUUCGUGAGAGACACAGGGAGAGAGAGAGGCAGAGACACAGACAGAGGGAAAAGCAGGCCCCAUGCAGGGAGCCUGACAUGGGACUCGAUCCCGGUUCUCCAGGAUCAUGCCCUGGGCUGAAGGCAGCGCCAAACCACUGAGCCACCUGGGCUGCUUGGCAAAUUAAUUUCAUGUUGAUAUCGGCAUCCCUUUCAACUUAUUUUUAUUGCUUUAUAAUGUAAAUCUACAUAAAUAGCAUAGUGACCAGCUAUGUAGUAGUUAUAUGUAAGAUUUGUAAAAAAAAAAAUAAAAUGGAACAAAAAAUAAAAUCAUUAAGAAAAGAGAAGUCUUACACUUUAAAUGAACAAUAUAAGAAAAAAGUGUCCUAUUAAGAGAUGACCAAAUUAUCUUAAUGCUAAAUACCUUAAUUUUUUUUUACUAAACAUUAUAUUUAUUCUGCUUACAUGGAACAUAAUUAUUUUGACUUUUCUGCAUUUGCUGUACCAUGAGGAUAACAAUGUAAGCCGUAUUAAGUUGCUACAGUCAAAAAGAGAAAGAGCAGCUGUUAACUUCUAAGUUGAGUCAAAAUGGAAGAAAGCUAAGUGAUCAAAAGCAAGAUUUCACUAUACUUUCUCAAAUCUCAAAUACACUCUUUUUAAGUUUGUAUCAGAAUUUGUCUAUAUUUUGUGAGUCAACCAAUCAAUAUAUUCAUUUUGUGUAUCUCUACAAUCAUUGGGGUCGAUUUGAUUUUUGACCUCUAAAAUGCCAAAAAGAAAUUACUUGGUCAUUUCCAAGUCUCAUUGAGUUCACUGAUCAACCUUUUUCUGUCAAGGGUCAUAGAGUAAAUAUCUUUGGCACUGUAGACCAAGAGGCAACAUUGAAGGUUUUGUGUGGGUACUUCUAGAGCAAGAGAGAACAACAAAUUUACACUUUUUUUUUUUUUUUUUUACUGACAAAACUCAAAACUUGAUUUAUGGAAUUGAAGUUUGAACCUCAUAUAGUUUUUACAUUACAAAUAUUAUUCUUGUUUUGAUUUUGUUUUCAAUCUUUUAAAUAUACAAAAUGCUUCCUCGCUUGCAAGCUAUAAAGACAGGCAGCAGGCUGUUUAUCCCACAGGCCAUAAUUUCCUAACCUCUGAUUCAAUCUAUUGUACUAUUUUUGUUUUAGGAAGUAUCCAAUUUAUAGGUAGAAAUAUAAGUUGAUGUACCUGAGAAAGUGUAAGUCUCUUAACCUGUGAUAUGCAUUUCUGAUGUAUAUACUUGAAAGACUUUGAGAAGAACAUUAAUUUAAUGAGUAGAUUCUUUUUUUUAAGAAGAGCUAAUUUAUUUAUUCAUGAGAGACACAGAGAGAGAGGCAGAGACACAGGCAGAGGGAGAAGCAGGUUCCAUGAAAGGAGCCUGAUGUGGACUCGAUCCCAGGACUCCAGGAUCAUGCCCUAGACACUCAACUGCUGAGCCACCCAGGUGCCUCUAAUGACUAGAUUCUGAAUUCUUUUGGACCCUAUCACAAAGUAAAGGAUAGGUUUUUGUUUUUUUCCAACACUUUAUGGCCAUAGCUCAGGCAAAAUAUAGUGACAAGCAAUUAUUCUUCGAAGCAGAAGUACAGUUAUUAGUUAACAUCUUAGUUAUUAUCCACACCCUGAGUUUCUCUGUUUAAGGUAUUUGGACUGUCCUAUCAUCUUUUAAGAUACCAUUACUAAUUACAAAACAACAACAACAGUAAAAACAGUGACUUCCUUUAAACCAACUAUUUAAGGACAUUUAUAAAAAAUGCUAUGUGUUUAUUUUUUUAAUUUAUUUGAAAGAUUGGAUCAGGGAUGCCUGGGUGGCUCAACGGUUCAGUGUCUGCCUUUGACUCAGGUCAUGACCCCGGGGUCCUGGGAUUGAGUCCCACAUCGGGCUCAUGAAUAAAUAAAUAAAUAAAUAAAUAAAUAAUCUUUAAAAAAAGGAAGAAGGCAAGAAAGAAAGCUAGGAUAAAUAUAUCUAAUGUAAUGGAGAAACCCAGCAUGACAGAUUCUCUACUAAGCUGUGUAAAUGAUGGUGCCAUAUACCGAAUGGUAGAGGACAAGAGAAAGAGUCUGAGAGGAGGACAUGAUGAACUCAAGUUGACAGGAAUUCAAGCUACAUAUCAACUGAAGUUGAUACACCCAAUGGGAGAGACCCAGCCUGCAAAGCAGUACAUGUAUUUAAGAUCCACAAGUAGAAUAUGAAACAUAACUCAAAUCCUAAGGUCAGAAAUAUGAUAUAGUGCAUAACUGGUUCCUUUACUGAUUAUUUAUAAGUUUGCGACAGUCAAGGCACGUAUAAUUAAGUAUUCCAAUUGUUCUUCUGGGCACCUCUCAAAACAUUUUUUAAGUAAAAGAGCUGAAUUAAAAAGUAAAAUAUAACCUGUGACGUUCAUAGUUGCCAAAUUGUUCUUAUCCCUAAACAAAAGAACUCAUCACUUACUGUAAAACUAGAGAAGCUACAUUAUCUAAACAUAGUUUUUCUCUUUCUUCUUGAAAGACUGAUGAGCCUCUUAACAUUUCCUAAAGACUGCUCAUUUCAUUUAUGCUGAGAAGUAAUGCCUCCAAUAAAGCAUCUGCCAUAGAAUAUGACAAUCCACUCUAGUCUCUGAUUUCAUUCAUUUGUCAAAAAGUUUGCCAGAACUUGGGAACAUUUAUGUGAACCAGGUCCAAUUUGCCAGCGAUGUUGGGGCAGUAUUUGGAUGUUAGGAAGGGAUUUAUGGUUUAGAGAGUAAAUCCUGUGGAACACAGAGGUUUUGCAUUAUUUCAGCCUCAACCAUCCAUAUUACAGAAGUUUCACUUGAGUGUUGCAUAAAAUUUUCUUAAAGUCUAUAAUAAUGGUUUGUAUGCUAAAACAUCUUAAGUAUUAAAAGUCUAAAACAGUUUGCUUUUGUAAAAAUUACUUUUUAUAUAUAACGUUUUUUUAUUUCAGUAAACUUAAUUAUGUAAUAGCAUAUGAUUAGCUAUACAUUCCUGGAAAACUACAUAUAAUGACUCAAUUCAAAAACCAGUGAAAGAUUUUAUGGAAAAUCAUGUCAUUGUCUAAGUAAAGAUAUAGAAUAAAUAAAGAUCUAAAAUUAGAAUCUUAUAGUCCUAAUUGUU